rnacentral:rRNA from 1 species
GAUGAACGCUGGCGGCGUGCCUAAUACAUGCAAGUCGAGCGAACGGACGAGAAGCUUGCUUCUCUGAUGUUAGCGGCGGACGGGUGAGUAACACGUGGAUAACCUACCUAUAAGACUGGGAUAACUUCGGGAAACCGGAGCUAAUACCGGAUAAUAUUUUGAACCGCAUGGUUCAAAAGUGAAAGACGGUCUUGCUGUCACUUCUAGAUGGAUCCGCGCUGCAUUAGCUAGUUGGUAAGGUAACGGCUUACCAAGGCAACGAUGCAUAGCCGACCUGAGAGGGUGAUCGGCCACACUGGAACGGAGACACGGUCCAGACUCCUACGGGAGGCAGCAGUAGGGAAUCUUCCGCAAUGGGCGAAAGCCUGACGGAGCAACGCCGCGUGAGUGAUGAAGGUCUUCGGAUCGUAAAACUCUGUUAUUAGGGAAGAACAUAUGUGUAAGUAACUGUGCACAUCUUGACGGUACCUAAUCAGAAAGCCACGGCUAACUACGUG